UGGGGAAUCUUGGACAAUGGGGGCAACCCUGAUCCAGCCAUGCCGCGUGAGUGAUGAAGGCCUUAGGGUUGUAAAACUCUUUCGCUAGGGAAGAUAAUGACGGUACCUAGUAAAGAAGUCCCGGCUAACUCCGUGCCAGCAGCCGCGGUAAUACGGAGGGGACUAGCGUUGUUCGGAAUUACUGGGCGUAAAGAGUUCGUAGGCGGACUAGCAAGUUAGAGGUGAAAUCCCAGGGCUCAACCUUGGAACUGCCUUUAAAACUGCUAGUCUAGAGACCGGAAGAGGUUAGGGGAAUACCUAGUGUAGAGGUGAAAUUCGUAGAUAUUAGGUGGAACACCAGUGGCGAAGGCGCCUAACUGGUCCGGUACUGACGCUGAGGAACGAAAGCGUGGGGAGCAAAC
rnacentral:rRNA from 1 species